rnacentral:rRNA from 1 species
UACCUUACCACUCGGAUAACCGUGGUAAUUCUAGAGCUAAUACGUGCCUUAAGGGCCACCUUUUUGGUGGUCUGCAUUUAUUAGAUACAAACCAAUGCCAGCAAUGGCUCCUGGUGAUUCAUAAUAACUUGGCGGAUCGCAUGACCUUGCGUCGGCGACGUAUCAAUCAAAUUUCUGCCCUAUCAAGUUUCGAAGGUAGGAUAGAGGCCUACCUUGCUUACAACGGGUAACGGGGAAUAUGGGUUCGAUUCCGGAGAGGGAGCCUGAGAAAUGGCUACCACAUCCAAGGAUGGCAGCAGGCGCGCAAAUUACCCAAUCUCGAUACGAGGAGGUAGUGACAAAAAAUAACGAUGUGAAGCCUUUAUGGUGUCACAAUCGCAAUGAAGAGAAUUUAAAUCACUUCAUGAGUAACAAUUGGAGGGCAAGUCUGGUGCCAGCAGCCGCGGUAAUUCCAGCUCCAAUAGCGUAUACUAAAGUUGUUGCAGUUAAAAAGCUCGUAGUUGACUCUCGGACAAGGGCAGCUGGUCCGGCCUCUGGUCGGUACUAGCUGGACCGAGUCUUACCUCUUGGGGAGGGUCGGUGCUCUUUAUUGAGUGCCGGCCACCAGAACCAAGAAGAUUACUUUGAGAAAAGUAGAGUGUUCAAAGCAGGCAAUUGCUUGAAUACCUUAGCAUGGAAUAAUAAAAUAGACCUUGGUUCUAUUUUAUUGGUUUAAGGACCAAAAUCAUGAGUAAUAGGAACAGUCGGGGGCAUUCGUAUUCCGGAGCUAGAGGUGAAAUUCUUGGAUUUCCGGAAGACGUACUACUGCGAAAGCAUCUGCCAAGGAUGUUUUCAUUAAUCAAGAACUAAAGUUAGGGGAUCGAAGACGAUUAGAUACCGUCGUAGUCUUAACUAUAAACGAUGCCGACUAGGGAUCCGUCAGCGUAUUUUUUACCUGACGGGCACCUUAGGAGAAAUCAAAGUGUUUGGGUUCUGGGGGGAGUAUGGUCGCAAGUCUGAAACUUAAAGGAAUUGACGGAAGGACACCACCAGGAGUGGAGCCUGCGGCUUAAUUCGACUCAACACGGGAAAACUCACCAGGUCCAGACAUGGGAAGGAUUGACAGAUUGAGAGCUCUU